rnacentral:rRNA from 1 species
GGUUAAGCGACUAAGCGUACACGGUGGAUGCCUAGGCAGUCAGAGGCGAUGAAGGGCGUGCUAAUCUGCGAUAAGCGUCGGUAAGCUGAUAUGAAGCGUUAUACCCGACGAUACCCGAAUGGGGAAACCCAGUGUGUUUCGACACACUAUCAUGACAUGAAUACAUAGUGUCAUGAGGCGAACCGGGGGAACUGAAACAUCUCAGUACCCCGAGGAAAAGAAAUCAACCGAGAUUCCCCCAGUAGCGGCGAGCGAACGGGGAGGAGCCCAGAACCUGAAUCAGUUUGUGUGUUAGUGGAAGCGUCUGGAAAGUCGCACAGUAAAGGGUGAUAGUCCCGUACACAAAAAUGCACAAGUUGUGAGUUCGAUGAGUAGGGCGGGACACGUGACAUCCUGUCUGAAUAUGGGGGGACCAUCCUCCAAGGCUAAAUACUCCUGACUGACCGAUAGUGAACCAGUACCGUGAGGGAAAGGCGAAAAGAACCCCGGCGAGGGGAGUGAAAUAGAACCUGAAACCGUGUACGUACAAGCAGUGGGAGCCUACUUGUUAGGUGACUGCGUACCUUUUGUAUAAUGGGUCAGCGACUUAUAUUCUGUAGCAAGGUUAACCGUAUAGGGGAGCCGCAGGGAAACCGAGUCUUAACUGGGCGUUAAGUUGCAGGGUAUAGACCCGAAACCCGGUGAUCUAGCCAUGGGCAGGUUGAAGGUUGGGUAACACUAACUGGAGGACCGAACCGACUAAUGUUGAAAAAUUAGCGGAUGACUUGUGGCUGGGGGUGAAAGGCCAAUCAAACCGGGAGAUAGCUGGUUCUCCCCGAAAGCUAUUUAGGUAGCGCCUCGUGAAUUCAUCUUCGGGGGUAGAGCACUGUUUCGGCUAGGGGGUCAUCCCGACUUACCAACCCGAUGCAAACUACGAAUACCGAAGAAUGUUAUCACGGGAGACACACGGCGGGUGCUAACGUUCGUCGUGAAGAGGGAAACAACCCAGACCGCCAGCUAAGGUCCCAAAGUCAUGGUUAAGUGGGAAACGAUGUGGGAAGGCAUAGACAGCCAGGAUGUUGGCUUAGAAGCAGCCAUCAUUUAAAGAAAGCGUAAUAGCUCACUGGUCGAGUCGGCCUGCGCGGAAGAUGUAACGGGGCUAAACCAUGCACCGAAGCUGCGGCAGCGACACUUAGGUGUUGUUGGGUAGGGGAGCGUUCUGUAAGCCUGCGAAGGUGGCCUGUGAGGGCUGCUGGAGGUAUCAGAAGUGCGAAUGCUGACAUAAGUAACGAUAAUGCGGGUGAAAAACCCGCACGCCGGAAGACCAAGGGUUCCUGUCCAACGUUAAUCGGGGCAGGGUGAGUCGACCCCUAAGGCGAGGCUGAAAAGCGUAGUCGAUGGGAAACAGGUUAAUAUUCCUGUACUCGGUGUUACUGCGAAGGGGGGACGGAGAAAGCUAGGUUAUCCGGGCGACGGUUGUCCCGGUUUAAGCGUGAAGGUGGAUGACUUUGGUAAAUCCGGGUCAUCGUUAACACUGAGGCGUGAUGACGAGUCACUACGGUGAUGAAGUAACCGAUGCUACGCUUCCAGGAAAAGCCUCUAAGCUCCAGGUAACAUCAAAUCGUACCCCAAACCGACACAGGUGGUCAGGUAGAGAAUACUCAGGCGCUUGAGAGAACUCGGGUGAAGGAACUAGGCAAAAUGGUGCCGUAACUUCGGGAGAAGGCACGCUGAUGGUAGGUGAAGUGAUUUGCUCAUGGAGCUGAAAUCAGUCGAAGAUACCAGCUGGCUGCAACUGUUUAAUAAAAACACAGCACUGUGCAAACACGAAAGUGGACGUAUACGGUGUGACGCCUGCCCGGUGCCGGAAGGUUAAUUGAUGGGGUCAGCCGCAAGGCGAAGCUCUUGAUCGAAGCCCCGGUAAACGGCGGCCGUAACUAUAACGGUCCUAAGGUAGCGAAAUUCCUUGUCGGGUAAGUUCCGACCUGCACGAAUGGCGUAAUGAUGGCCAGGCUGUCUCCACCCGAGACUCAGUGAAAUUGAACUCGCUGUGAAGAUGCAGUGUACCCGCGGCAAGACGGAAAGACCCCGUGAACCUUUACUAUAGCUUGACACUGAACCUUGAGCCUUGAUGUGUAGGAUAGGUGGGAGGCUUUGAAGCGUGGACGCCAGUCUGCGUGGAGCCAACCUUGAAAUACCACCCUUUAAUGUUUGAUGUUCUAACGUGGACCCGUAAUCCGGGUUGCGGACAGUGUCUGGUGGGUAGUUUGACUGGGGCGGUCUCCUCCCAAAGCGUAACGGAGGAGCACGAAGGUUAGCUAAUCCUGGUCGGACAUCAGGAGGUUAGUGCAAAGGCAUAAGCUAGCUUGACUGCGAGAGUGACAGCUCGAGCAGGUGCGAAAGCAGGUCUUAGUGAUCCGGUGGUUCUGAAUGGAAGGGCCAUCGCUCAACGGAUAAAAGGUACUCCGGGGAUAACAGGCUGAUACCGCCCAAGAGUUCAUAUCGACGGCGGUGUUUGGCACCUCGAUGUCGGCUCAUCACAUCCUGGGGCUGAAGUAGGUCCCAAGGGUAUGGCUGUUCGCCAUUUAAAGUGGUACGCGAGCUGGGUUUAGAACGUCGUGAGACAGUUCGGUCCCUAUCUGCCGUGGGCGUUGGAAGAUUGAGAGGGGUUGCUCCUAGUACGAGAGGACCGGAGUGAACGCACCACUGGUGUACGGGUUGUGAUGCCAAUUGCAUUGCCCGGUAGCUAAGUGCGGAAGAGAUAACCGCUGAAAGCAUCUAAGCGGGAAACUUGCCUCGAGAUGAGUCUUCCCUGGACACUUGAUGUCCCUGAAGGGCCGUUGAAGACGACGACGUAGAUAGGCUGGGUGUGUAAGCGUAGCGAUACGUUGAGCUGACCAGUACUAAUGACCCGAGAGGCUUAACCUU